UUCUGUGGAAAAAUUUCCAAAUUAUGGACAAUUGUCAGGGCAAAAGCUUGAAAAUCAUAGGGCAGGAGAACGGGUUGCUAUCGAUUCAAGAAAGCGUAAUCCUUCUGACUUUGCAUUGUGGAAGGCUGCGAAACCAGGUGAGCCAAGUUGGGAAAGUCCGUGGGGUCCUGGAAGGCCUGGAUGGCAUAUAGAAUGCAGUGCCAUGAGUGCUCAUUAUCUUACGUUUAAGUUUGACAUCCAUGGAGGUGGCAUUGAUUUGAUCUUUCCG
rnacentral:misc_RNA from 1 species